CCAGCGACAUAUCCCUGACAAGCCCCGCCUCCCUGAAGCUCCACAACAACAUACGCCCACAGCAGGCGGGUUGGAUUCUGCUACCUACCAGACAAGUCCCAUCCGGCGCCUUCUCCCGCCCCUUCCGACGUCCUGCUCACGUGACUACCAUGGCUAUCUGUAACUUUUUCCUUCAGGGCCGCUGCCGGUACGGAGAGAAGUGUUGGAAUGAACACCCGAGAGGCGGCGGAGGAGGAGGAGGCAACCGGUACCAGUCGCAGAACCGAUAUCAGGAGCAGAGCCGAUAUCAGGAGCAGAGCCGAUAUCAGGAGCAGAGCCGAUAUCCGGAGCAGAGCCGAUAUCCGGAGCAGAACCGAUAUCAAGAGCCAGCAGGUAAUGCUAAGGGCACCUGGGGUGCAUCAUCGCAGAGAUAUGUACAACCAUCCAACUUUUCCAAAUCCACAACAUGGAUCAAUAGGGACAGUGAAAAACCUUCAGCUGGAUCAUUUUCUGGAUUUGGCAGCAGGAAUGUUAAAUCUACAGCAGCCACAGGACUCCCUUCGACUCAGAAUCGCUUUGCUGCCUUAAGCUCACAAGACAAUUCCAGAGAUGGUCAGACAGACAAAGGAAAUAUUCUAGAUGACAUAAUGAAGGAUAUGGAGAUCUGGGAAUCUUCAGGGCAAUGGAUGUUUUCGGUUUACUCCAUGUUGAAAGAGAAGAAAAAUAUCUCGGGAUUUACAGACUUCUCCCCAGAGGAGCUGCGUCUUGAAUACUCUGUUUGCCAGGCGGAAGGAAAUCCUCUGAAAUAUAUCAAUGCUGUUCAGCAACUUGGAAGCAAAUGGAAACAACGGAUACUUGAACUAAAAAACCCAAAUCCAUCAAUAAAAACAGCCCUGCUAAAUGAACUGAACAGUCCAUCGCCUGAUGUGACUCCUGGUUAUAGUGGACAGCAAAAUUCUGCCUUUGGUGCUUUAAGUUUUCCUACAAGCAACACAGCCCCAACAGCAGUCACGUUUAGCUUUAAAGCAGACACAACAACCGCCGCUAAACCUGCUGUGCCAAAUGCAUUAGCUGGAUCAGAUUUUUCUGCAUUUGGAAACAAACCCACCAGUGCACCAAGUUUUGGAAGUGGAGUGGCAGCAGCUGCAGCUUCCUUUAGUUUUGCUCCAUCAACAAUAUCUGGUUUUGGCUCCACGGCAUCCAAUUCAGGCUUUGGAGCUGCUUCAAAUGCAGCUGGUUUUCAGGGGGCCGCUAAUAUUGCUGCAGCUCCUGCUUUCGGUGUGGCUUCCAGCACUGCACCGGCUUCUGGUUUUGGGGGAGGCUUCGGCACAACAGUAAACACUGGAGCUAAGACUUCUAGCGUUCGUGAUCUUUUUAGUGCUGGGACUGCGGUCCCGGUACAGACUACCUUAUUAUUUGGGCAAGCUACUGGGUCCUUAAAUACAACUGCAAGUUCAACAUCACUGGCCGGGCAGCCUUUCAAGGCAUCAACUUCGGCUACUGCUGUGUCUGGUUCUUUUACAUCUGAUAAUACAAGCAAUCCUUUGUUUACGCCACGGAAUGAACUUUCCGUAGAAGAUCUUGCACAGUUUGAAGCCAAGCAAUUUACAUUGGGAAAGACUCCAAUUAAACCCCCAUCAGCUGAUCUUCUAAAAGUUACAUAAGACAUGCAUUGGUCUUUCUAUAUUCCUGUUGGCUUUUUCUGUACAAAACUGCUUCUUUGAGAAUACAAACCUGGAAUAUUUGUAUCACAAACUGCAUUGUAAUAAUGUUCAUUUUUUUAAAGUAAUGUUUAUUCAGAAUAAUGUAUUGCAUAUAUUUGUUUUACUGCCAUUUAAAUAUAUGUUUAAAUAAAGGUUUUUCCUUUAUUAAAAA